rnacentral:lncRNA from 1 species
UUCAGGCAUAAAUUCUCAAAUCAGUGACAUUACCACAACCUUUAUACUUGGUUUAAAUCUUCGAUCAAUCAAGUGACUACAUGUCACACUUAUACAAUCCUCCCAUGAGAUACGCUCCCACGACCUUCCGUACUAGGUAACAAGUCUGCACAUCAUUACCGCCAGCUGCACUAAUGCUGCAAGGCUGAUCAAGAAUCUAUAACCAGGAUCCAAAGCCUCUUUCACAAGACACUGAUCUCAUAGGUCGCUAAAGACAAUAUCAGCUUACUCUAACCAUUCAAUCCCUUUCCUUCUCAUCUGAGUUCGUGACAUAUUUGCCAACACCGAACUGCAACCUUGAUCCUCACUUUUGAAUUUCAUACCAUUCACUACACCUGACAUGCCAAUAUGAGAUAGUACAAGAAUUUUAUUAUAACUCCUGAACCACUAAUAGAGUGAACACUUCAUCACAUAGAAACAUUUUUACUUAACUCACUCCAAGAGAACUAUAGCAACACAUGAGUGAAUUCUCAUAACUUUAGAACAUAAAAAUCCUCAAGUAGUGGUCUAAUCCACCAUAACCCUUCCUGGAUCCGCCUAUAUAUAAAAGACCAAAAUACUUAGGUAUUUCCAAAUUAAAUCAAUUACAGUAGCCCUCGAGCCUCGCACGUACCAUCACAAAUCACUUGCAUCACUUAAUCAUGCUGAAGGAAUUGAUCACCGCCAUCAUCAUGUCGAUUCAACCAUGGCUAACCAAUCUAAUUUCUUCUAAUUUAUACUUAACUUGCCUUAUCAAUAUUAAUAGCUCCAUUACUUGCAUCAUGAACCUAAUUCUGCACGGCCCCAAGUGACCCCAUUCCACUAGACCAUAUUGUCUCCAAACCCAUGAACUGUUCCAUGCCCUUCUUGCACACACAUUCGUAUCAACCGAUAUACCCAUUCGGAUAAUUCAUCCAUGAAUCCGAAGUCAUUUUCUCUCCUUUCUUCAAAUGCUACACUACAAGCCGAAGGUAUCAUAGGACAUGCCGAGCCUCUCAUCAUAAGCCGUUGCAAAAUCUCAAUCCUUAACCAUGAUGCGGGCCUAAAAUCCUUAGGCACCAUAUUUUAACCUUUGAAUUUACUAGGACUGUUGUCGAGAGUCACCCACUCUGGCUUGGUCCCACAUAUAAUCAACUCCAAGGCUCCGCUGGCACAUGAACACCCAUCUUAAUAAAGCACCCAGACGAAUCACUCCCCUUGUAAAUAACCUAUGUAUGAACAUAAAUCUUGAAUCUUCCCAAAGCCCGAACAAGACUCGAUAAGGCCAUUUAUGACACACAUUUCUCAGAUCAUUUGCUCAAGGAACCUCUCAUGUUCUAUUCCCCUAACUGUAAUAACUCAGCUAUAUGCCGAUAACCCAAAACCUCAUAAGUAGAUAACCAUGCAACCCAAUCAUAGGCGGUGAGAUUCUCUCACUUAGCUUGAAGCCACCAUUACAUAACUCUGUAAUCCAUCAAGAUUCUUUCUUCAUCAUUGACAUGAUCUUACAUAACCAACUCGCCAAAUUCCUCUAAAUCCUUCUGUUUGACUUUUCUUGAACACUCUGUAUCACUAACCACCUUUACUUAUCCGACCUCUUACCGUAUACACGAUCGAAGUCUUCGCAUAAGUUUCGUCAAUAUCACACCUUCUUUUAUACCUACACCCCCAGAAGGGUGCAGAAGGGAGUUUUUCCAAUUAAAGGACAAUUGAAACGGUAUUAUUUGUUUAUCUAAAAUUUAGAGUCACCACUUGGAAUAUUUUAUGGUGUCCCAAGACACCGGUUCAAAUCCCGAGUCGAGGAAAAGAUUGACUCUGUUUUUGAUAGUCUGUGAACCAGAAAUCCGGGUAAGGAAUAUUGUGAACUCGGGACAAGGUGUUAGCCAUUCCCGAGUUUCGUGGUUCUAGCACAGUCGCUUUGAUCAUACUCGGCUUAUUAAAUCGUUUAAUUACCCUUUUAAAACCUAUGUGCUUUUGACUUUUUAUUGCUUUUAAUUAAUAAAAGAAUCUUGAAACGGGUCAUGCGUACGUAUACCCGUUUGUUUGGAGCGUCAAAAUCAUGUCACGCGAACGUGUCCACAAUUAAUAACUCUUUAUUAUUAUUAAGAAAAUUUGGUCGGAGUUGCACGAACGCAUACUCCGGCUUUAUUUUUUAGAAAUC